rnacentral:tRNA from 1 species
GGAGAGAUGGCCGAGUGGUUGAAGGCGCCCGCCUCGAAAGCGGGUGAGCAGUAGCCCUGCUCCGUGAGUUCGAAUCUCACUCUCUCCGCCA